UUCAAAAUUCAUUGGAAACGUUUCAAACCAAAAUCUUCUAUUUCACUAGACACAGAAAAUAAAUUAACUAUCAACAAAAUGCCUUCAAUCCCAACGCUUCCAAAAAUACAGAAUAAAUCAACAAUCAACAAAGGAGAAAAAUUCAAUCCAACAACCAUAUCAAGCCUGAGAAGAAAUCAACAUGGCAGAACGCUAAUAUCGUCGGUCAGAAAGAUCUGAAUAGGGAACAAACAAAUUAUAAAGAAAGGAAGAACCACCGGUCAACGACUAUCUCCCUCCCCACAUUUCUUCUCCAAGGUAACUGUAUAAUGACCAACUCUAAUUGGUAUAGUUCAAUUUUCAUGAAAGAUGUAAAAUUAUUUAAAUUUAAAAAAUGUAUGUCUGUAUCUUAUAUUCUUGGUUUUUCUUCAUUUUGGUUUUGUUUAUAGUAAAAAAGAUUGUAUCUUUGAUUAUUUUGUUGUCCAUUGUGAGAUUUGCUUACUCUUGAAUGUGUUCGCUUAAUGGAUUUUUCAUCUAACAUUUUAUGCAUUGAUAUUAAGAUGUUUAUUUUCUGUAUGAUCUGUUUGCUCAAUCAGCUUCGUGAAUGUUAUUUAUCAAUUUUUCCUUUUUUUUUCUUUUUGCCUUUUUCCCAUCUCAUUUUGCCGUCGUAAAAGA